rnacentral:rRNA from 1 species
AUUGAACGCUGGCGGCAGGCCUAACACAUGCAAGUCGAGCGAGCGGCGGACGGGUGAGUAAUGUCUGGGAAACUGCUUGAUGGAGGGGGAUAACUACUGGAAACGGUAGCUACUACCGCAUACCGUUGGAUGUGCCCAGAUGGGGUUAGCUCGUGGGGGGGGUAACGGCUCACCUAGGCGACGAUCCCUAGCUGGUCUGAGAGGAUGACCAGCAACACUGGAACUGAGACACGGUCCAGACUCCUACGGGAGGCAGCAGUGGGGAAUAUUGGACAAUGGGCGAAAGCCUGAUGCAGCCAUGCCGCGUGUGUGAAGAAGGCCUUCGGGUUGUAAAGCACUUUCAGCGGGGAGGCGUUACCCGCAGAAGAAGUACCGGCUAACUCCGUGCCAGCCGCCGCGGUAAUAC